rnacentral:rRNA from 1 species
ACGGGUGAGUAAUGUCUGGGGAUCUGCCCGAUAGAGGGGGAUAACCACUGGAAACGGUGGCUAAUACCGCAUAACGUCGCAAGACCAAAGAGGGGGACCUUCGGGCCUCUCACUAUCGGAUGAACCCAGAUGGGAUUAGCUAGUAGGCGGGGUAACGGCCCACCUAGGCGACGAUCCCUAGCUGGUCUGAGAGGAUGACCAGCCACACUGGAACUGAGACACGGUCCAGACUCCUACGGGAGGCAGCAGUGGGGAAUAUUACACAAUGGGCGCAAGCCUGAUGCAGCCAUGCCGCGUGUAUGAAGAAGGCCUUCGGGUUGUAAAGUACUUUCAGCGGGGAGGAAGGCGAUAAGGUUAAUAACCUUGUCGAUUGACGUUACCCGCAGAAGAAGCACCGGCUAACUCCGUGCCAGCAGCCGCGGUAAUACGGAGGGUGCAAGCGUUAAUCGGAAUUACUGGGCGUAAAGCGCACGCAGGCGGUCUGUUAAGUCAGAUGUGAAAUCCCCGGGCUUAACCUGGGAACUGCAUUUGAAACUGGCAGGCUUGAGUCUCGUAGAGGGGGGUAGAAUUCCAGGUGUAGC